rnacentral:lncRNA from 1 species
UGUAAGACCCGAGAAAAAUAUAGGGCGUAUGAAUAAUAGAGUGAUGAGAUGUGAGUAAUUUUAAUGAAAGUUGAAUGGUUAUGUGCUCUAGUCUCGAUUAGAACAUAAAAAAAAUGUAUGUUAUUUAAUGGUUUUGUUAAUUUAAAUGCAACGUAAUUUAUUGUUCGUUUGUUACAAUUAUAAUGUCUGAAAUUAUCAAUGUGAUGUGUU